AAGGGAGACCUAAUUCAGGUAGGAGACGAAAAAAAAGUAGUCGCUACCAAGAAUCAAUCCCAAAAGGUCGGAGCGAGGCGAAAUUGGCCUUCAAACUAGGUUCUGGGUUCACACAAGACCUGAAUCAGGAACAAGGGCUAUUAGCUCAGGUGGUUAGAGCGCACCCCUGAUAAGGGUGAGGUCCCUGGUUCGAGUCCAGGAUGGCCCACCUGUACAGGUGGCAAAAAGAAAGAAAAGAAGCGAGGAAUCAGCACCUUAUCUUACUGACAUAGUAAGAGAGAAUGCUGGCUCUGAGUAAAGAGUCCAGAGGAACCUUGAAAACUGCAUAGAGCUAGGUGAAAAAGCCAAAAAAGAAGACCGCAA
rnacentral:tRNA from 1 species